CANUAAGCGGAGGAAAAGAAACNAACAGNGAUUGCCCCAGUAACGGCGAGUGAAGCGGCAACAGCUCAAAUUUGAAAUCUGGCCCCCCGGGGCCCGAGUUGUAAUUUGCAGAGGAUGCUUUUGGCGAGGCGCCUUCCGAGUUCCCUGGAACGGGACGCCACAGAGGGUGAGAGCCCCGUCUGGUUGGAUGCCGAGCCUCUGUAAAGCUCCUUCGACGAGUCGAGUAGUUUGGGAAUGCUGCUCUAAAUGGGAGGUAUAUGUCUUCUAAAGCUAAAUAUUGGCCAGAGACCGAUAGCGCACAAGUAGAGUGAUCGAAAGAUGAAAAGCACUUUGAAAAGAGGGUUAAAAUAGUACGUGAAAUUGUUGAAAGGGAAGCGCUCAUGACCAGACUUGGGCCCGGUGAAUCAUCCAGCGUUCUCGCCGGUGCACUUUGCCGGGCUCAGGCCAGCAUCAGUUCGCCCUGGGGGAGAAAGGCUCUGGGAAUGUGGCUCCUCCGGGAGUGUUAUAGCCCUCUGCGCAAUGCCCUGGGGCGGACUGAGGUCCGCGCAUCUGCAAGGAUGCUGGCGUAAUGGUCAUCAGCGACCCGUCUUGAAACACGGACCAAGGAGUCGUCCUCGUAUGCGAGUGUUCGGGUGUGAAACCCCUACGCGUAAUGAAAGUGAACGCAGGUGAGAGCUUCGGCGCAUCAUCGACCGAUCCUGAUGUUCUCGGAUGGAUUUGAGUAGGAGCAUACGGGGCCGGACCCGAAAGAAGGUGAACUAUGCCUGUAUAGGGUGAAGCCAGAGGAAACUCUGGUGGAGGCUCGCAGCGGUUCUGACGUGCAAAUCGAUCGUCAAAUAUGGGCAUGGGGGCGAAAGACUAAUCGAACCUUCUAGUAGCUGGUUUCCGCCGAAGUUUCCCUCAGGAUAGCAGUGUCGAUCUCAGUUUUAUGAGGUAAAGCGAAUGAUUAAGGGACUCGGGGG
rnacentral:rRNA from 1 species